GGACCCUCCCUGCCCGCGGGGAGAGGGGACCCGCCACCCGGGGGGCUCCCCCAGGGAUGUCCCGGCUGAUGGAGCGGGGCGGGGGGGUGAGGAGAAGGGAACCUGAGCGAAGUGAUGCGGAGGGGGAAACAAACCGUGUGAAUGAAGCGAGGAAACACCCAGGAAGAGUUUGGGAGGGGUGGAAGGGGAAGUCAAAAUGAGUAACAUCUAAUGGAGUGACAAAGCAAAAUUUCCACAGAGUACAGCUGUGAGAAGCAUCAACACCAGUAACUUGAAGAGUUUUUUUCCUGCUCUGGCUAGUCAGUGAUUAUGAAAGAGUGACGAGAAGGCUGAUUUGCAUAAGAAAUAUCCUCAGGACAAUGCAGAGUUUUGUUUCACAAGUUUUUAGGUUCAAAAAGCCAAGUAAAGUUGUUUUCCAAUAA